rnacentral:rRNA from 1 species
AUACUUGCUGACGUCUGGCAUUCAUCGUUUACGGUGUGGACUACCAGGGUAUCUAAUCCUGUUUGCUCCCCACACUUUCGCACCUCAGCGUCAGUAUCGAGCCAGUAAGCCGCCUUCGCCACUGGUGUUCCUCCAAAUAUCUACGAAUUUCACCUCUACACUUGGAAUUCCACUUACCUCUCUCGAACUCAAGACUAGCAGUAUUAAAGGCAGUUCCAGGGUUGAGCCCUGGGAUUUCACCUCUAACUUACUAAUCCGCCUACGUGCGCUUUACGCCCAGUAAUUCCGAACAACGCUAACCCCCUCCGUAUUACCGCGGCUGCUGGCACGGAGUUAGCCGGGGUUUCUUUACCAGAUACUGUCAUUAUCAUCUCUGGCGAAAGUGCUUUACGACCCUAAGGCCUUCAUCACACACGCGGCAUGGCUAGAUCAGGGUUUCCCCCAUUGUCUAAGAUUCCCUACUGCUGCCUCCCGUAGGAGUCUGGGCCGUGUCUCAGUCCCAGUGUGGCUGAUCAUCCUCUCAAACCAGCUAUAGAUCGUAGGCUUGGUAGGCCAUUACCCCACCAGCAAACUAAUCUAGUGCAGGCUCAUCCAAUGGUGCAUAAAGCUUUCUCUGUAAAGACUUAUCCGGUAUUAGCACAAGUUUCCUCGUGUUAUUCCAGGCCAAAGGGUAGAUACCCACAUGUUACUCACCCGUCUGCCACUAAGUAUUGCUACUUCGUUCGACUUGCAUGUGUUAGGUGUGCCGCCAGCGUACGUUCUGAGCCAGGAUCAAACUCU